rnacentral:rRNA from 1 species
GACGAACGCUCGCGGCGUGCUUAACACAUGCAAGUCGAACGGAAAGGCCCUGCUUUUGUGGGGUGCUCGAGUGGCGAACGGGUGAGUAACACGUGAGUAACCUGCCCUUGACUUUGGGAUAACUUCAGGAAACUGGGGCUAAUACCGGAUAGGAGCUCCUGCUGCAUGGUGGGGGUUGGAAAGUUUCGGCGGUUGGGGAUGGACUCGCGGCUUAUCAGCUUGUUGGUGGGGUAGUGGCUUACCAAGGCUUUGACGGGUAGCCGGCCUGAGAGGGUGACCGGCCACAUUGGGACUGAGAUACGGCCCAGAGUCCUACGGGAGGCAGCAGUGGGGAAUAUUGCACAAGGGGCGGAAGCCUGAGGCAGCAACGCCGCGUGCGGGAUGACGGCCUUCGGGUUGUAAACCGCUUUCGCCUGUGACGAAGCGUGAGGGACGGUAAGGGGUAAAGAAGCACCGGCUAACUACG